rnacentral:rRNA from 1 species
GUACUUACUCCUACGGGAGGCAGCAGUGGGGAAUAUUGGACAAUGGGCGGAAGCCUGAUCCAGCCAUGCCGCGUGUGUGAAGAAGGCCUUUUGGUUGUAAAGCACUUUAAGCGAGGAGGAGGCUACUCUAGUUAAUACCUAGAGAUAGUGGACGUUACUCGCAGAAUAAGCACCGGCUAACUCUGUGCCAGCAGCCGCGGUAAUACAGAGGGUGCGAGCGUUAAUCGGAUUUACUGGGCGUAAAGCGUGCGUAGGCGGCUGAUUAAGUCGGAUGUGAAAUCCCUGAGCUUAACUUAGGAAUUGCAUUCGAUACUGGUCAGCUAGAGUAUGGGAGAGGAUGGUAGAAUUCCAGGUGUAGCGGUGAAAUGCGUAGAGAUCUGGAGGAAUACCGAUGGCGAAGGCAGCCAUCUGGCCUAAUACUGACGCUGAGGUACGAAAGCAUGGGGAGCAAACAGGAUUAGAUACCCUUGUAGUCCAGGCAU